rnacentral:rRNA from 1 species
ACGGAAGGCAGCAGCUACGAAUAUUCCGCAAUGGACGAAAGUCUGACGGAGCGACGCCGCGUGGAUGAUGAAGGUCGGAAGAUUGUAAAAUCCUUUUAAGUAUGAAGAAUAAGCAGGACAGUGAAUGGUCCUGUGGUGACGGUAGUACUUGAAUAAGCAACGGCUAAUUACGUGCCCGCAGCCGCGGUAAUACGUACGUUGCGAGCGGUGUUCGGAAUUAUUGGGCGUAAAGGGCAUGUAGGCGGAUAUGCAAGUGUGGUGUGAAAGGCGGGAGCUCAACUCCCGAACUGCGUUGAGAACUGCAUAACUAGAGUGACUGAGGGGCAGGCAGAAUUCCAGGUGCAGGGGUGAAAUCUGUAGAUAUCUGGAAGAAUACCAAUGGCGAAGGCAGCCUGCCAGCAGAUGACUGACGCUGAGGUGCGAAGGUGCGGGGAGCAAACAGGAUUAGAUACCCUGGUA